rnacentral:rRNA from 1 species
GACGAACGCUGGCGGCGUGCUUAACACAUGCAAGUCGAACGGAAAGGCCCUGCUUUUGUGGGGUGCUCGAGAGGCGAACGGGUGAGUAACACGUGAGUAACCUGCCCUUGACUUUGGGAUAACUUCAGGAAACUGGGGCUAAUACCGGAUAGGAGCUCCUGCUGCAUGGUGGGGGUUGGAAAGUUUCGGCGGUUGGGGAUGGACUCGCGGCUUAUCAGCUUGUUGGUGGGGUAGUGGCUUACCAAGGCUUUGACGGGUAGCCGGCCUGAGAGGGUGACCGGCCACAUUGGGACUGAGAUACGGCCCAGACGCCUACGGGAGGCAGCAGUGGGGAAUAUUGCACAAUGGGCGGAAGCCUGAUGCAGCAACGCCGCGUGCGGGAUGACGGCCUUCGGGUUGUAAACCGCUUUCGCCUGUGACGAAGCGUGAGUGACGGUAAUGGGUAAAGAAGCACCGGCUAACUACGUG